AGCAGUGGGGAAUAUUGGACAAUGGGCGAAAGCCUGAUCCAGCCAUGCCGCGUGUGUGAAGAAGGUCUUCGGAUUGUAAAGCACUUUAAGUUGGGAGGAAGGGCAUUAACCUAAUACGUUAGUGUUUUGACGUUACCGACAGAAUAAGCACCGGCUAACUCUGUGCCAGCAGCCGCGGUAAUACAGAGGGUGCAAGCGUUAAUCGGAAUUACUGGGCGUAAAGCGCGCGUAGGUGGUUCGUUAAGUUGGAUGUGAAAGCCCCGGGCUCAACCUGGGAACUGCAUUCAAAACUGACGAGCUAGAGUAUGGUAGAGGGUGGUGGAAUUUCCUGUGUAGCGGUGAAAUGCGUAGAUAUAGGAAGGAACACCAGUGGCGAAGCGAUCACCUGGACUGAUACUGACACUGAG
rnacentral:rRNA from 1 species